rnacentral:rRNA from 1 species
UACGGGGGGGGCAAGCGUUGUUCGGAAUUACUGGGCGUAAAGGGCUCGUAGGCGGCCAACUAAGUCAGACGUGAAAUCCCUCGGCUUAACCGGGGAACUGCGUCUGAUACUGGAUGGCUUGAAUCCGGGAGAGGGAUGCGGAAUUCCAGGUGUAGCGGUGAAAUGCGUAGAUAUCUGGCGGAACACCGGUGGCGAAGGCGGCAUCCUGGACCGGCAUUGACGCUGAGGAGCGAAAGCCAGGGGAGCAAACGGG